CCUGAUAGCUCAGUUGGUAAAGAAUCUGUCUGCAAAGUGGAAGACCCUGGUUCGAUUCCUGGGUCAGGA
rnacentral:tRNA from 1 species